UGCCUUUCUCCUCCUGCCAUGAUUCUGAGGCCUCUCCAGCCACGUGGAAUUAGGAAAGAAAUCCAAGUAAAUCCAAAGGAAUAGAAACUAGAAAUAUACAGGCAUACUUGUGGCUGGAGUUAUUCCACUACUUGUACAUUAUGUGGCUUACCUCAACAUGUGGAAAAAUACAGUGCAAUGAUGCAUGCCUGUAAUCCCAACACUUUGGGAGGCCGAGGCCGGAGGAUCACUUGAGCCCAGCAUUUGAGAUCAACAUAGCAAAAUCCCAUUUCUACAAAAAAAAAAAAAAUUAGCUGCGUGUGGUGGUACACAUCUGUGUCCCCAGCUACUCAGGAGGCUGAGGUGGGAGGAUCACUUGAGACUGGAGGCAGA